AUACCGAGGGUGCAAGCGUUAAUCGGAUUUACUGGGCGUAAAGCGCGCGUAGGCGGCUAAUUAAGUCAAAUGUGAAAUCCCCGAGCUUAACUUGGGAAUUGCAUUCGAUACUGGUUAGCUAGAGUGUGGGAGAGGAUGGUAGAAUUCCAGGUGUAGCGGUGAAAUGCGUAGAGAUCUGGAGGAAUACCGAUGGCGAAGGCAGCCAUCUGGCCUAACACUGACGCUGAGGUGCGAAAGCAUGGGGAGCAAACAGGAUUAGAGACCCCCGUAGUCC
rnacentral:rRNA from 1 species